UAAAAAUUCAUUGCAUUGACAAAUUAAAACACAUACACGUACACAUAGAUAGAGUAUAGCAGAGAUCCAUAAGAGAGGGAAAAAAUGGGGGUUUUGAUAAAGAUAGUAGAUGCAAUCAACUUUGUGUUUUUGGUGAUUAUAGCACUUGGUAGUCCGCUAUUGGAUGCGCAGAUGAUCCUGCCUACCCACUUCUACCCUGACUUCCUCAUCAAAUAUAAUCAAAAUCUCAUCAGUGAAAACAAACAAUAUUUACAGGUUGAGAAGCCCCAUUUCUACGCAGCUAUUAUAUGGUACCAUCUCCUCGUUAACUGCCCACUUGCCCUAGCCUCUAUCUACGGCUUCAUCGCCCGCAAGUCCUGGUUCACCACCACCUCUUUGGUUCUUGCCGUCUCCUUUGCCACCAACUUGGUAACAUACACCACAUCGAU
rnacentral:lncRNA from 1 species